rnacentral:rRNA from 1 species
ACGGAGGAUGCGAGCGUUAAUCGGAAUUACUGGGCUUAAAGCGUGCGCAGGCGGGUCUUUAAGCCGGCGGUGAAAUGCCAGGGCUCAACCUCUGGAAUGCCGUUUGGACUGGGGAUCUUGGAUAUGUUCGGGGGGGGUGGAAUUCCGGGUGUAGCGGUGAAAUGCAUAGAUAUCAGGAGGAACGCCGGUAGCGAAGGCAGCUCGCCGGGCCGGUAUUGACGCUGAGGCACGAAAGCGUGGGGAUCGAACAG